GAGUCUGCCUUGAAGAUCGGAGUGCUUGCACUCUGUGAAACAAGAUACAGGCUAGCGGCGGACGGGUGAGUAACACGUGGGUAACCUGCCCAAGAGAUCGGGAUAACACCUGGAAACAGAUGCUAAUACCGGAUAACAACAGAUGAUGCCUAUCAACUGUUUAAAAGAUGGUUCUGCUAUCACUCUUGGAUGGACCUGCGGUGCAUUAGCUAGUUGGUAGGGUAACGGCCUACCAAGGCGAUGAUGCAUAGCCGAGUUGAGAGACUGAUCGGCCACAUUGGGACUGAGACACGGCCCAAACUCCUACGGGAGGCAGCAGUAGGGAAUCUUCCACAAUGGACGCAAGUCUGAUGGAGCAACGCCGCGUGAGUGAAGAAGGGUUUCGGCUCGUAAAGCUCUGUUGUUGGUGAAGAAGGACGGGGGUAGUAACUGACCUUUGUUUGACGGUAAUCAAUUAGAAAGUCACGGCUAACUACGUGCCAGCAGCCGCGGUAAUACGUAGGUGGCAAGCGUUGUCCGGAUUUAUUGGGCGUAAAGCGAGUGCAGGCGGUUCGAUAAGUCUGAUGUGAAAGCCUUCGGCUCAACCGGAGAAUUGCAUCAGAAACUGUCGAGCUUGAGUACAGAAGAGGAGAGUGGAACUCCAUGUGUAGCGGUGAAAUGCGUAGAUAUAUGGAAGAACACCGGUGGCGAAGGCGGCUCUCUGGUCUGUUACUGACGCUGAGGCUCGAAAGCAUGGGUAGCGAACAGGAUUAGAUACCCUGGUAGUCCAUGCCGUAAA
rnacentral:rRNA from 1 species